rnacentral:rRNA from 1 species
GAUGAACGCUGGCGGCGUGCCUAAUACAUGCAAGUCGAGCGAACAGACGAGGAGCUUGCUCCUCUGACGUUAGCGGCGGACGGGUGAGUAACACGUGGCUAACCUACCUAUAAGACUGGGAUAACUUCGGGAAACCGGAGCUAAUACCGGAUAAUAUAUUGAACCGCAUGGUUCAAUAGUGAAAGACGGUUUUGCUGUCACUUAUAGAUGGAUCCGCGCCGCACUAGCUAGUUGGUAAGGUAACGGCUUACCAAGGCAACGAUGCGUAGCCGACCUGAGAGGGUGAUCGGCCACACUGGAACUGAGACACGGUCCAGACUCCUACGGGAGGCAGCAGUAGGGAAUCUUCCGCAAUGGGCGAAGGCUUGACGGAGCAACGCCGCGUGAGUGAUGAAGGUCUUCGGAUCGUAAAACUCUGUUAUUAGGGAAGAACAAAUGUGUAAGUAACUAUGCACGUCUUGACGGUACCUAAUCAGAAAGCCACGGCUAACUACGUG